rnacentral:rRNA from 1 species
CAUGCAGUCGAGCGGUAAGGCCUUUCGGGGUACACGAGCGGCGAACGGGUGAGUAACACGUGGGUGAUCUGCCCUGCACUCUGGGAUAAGCUUGGGAAACUGGGUCUAAUACCGGAUAUGACCGCAUGCCGCAUGGUGUGUGGUGGAAAGAUUUAUCGGUGCAGGAUGGGCCCGCGGCCUAUCAGCUUGUUGGUGGGGUAAUGGCCUACCAAGGCGACGACGGGUAGCCGACCUGAGAGGGUGACCGGCCACACUGGGACUGAGACACGGCCCAGACUCCUACGGGAGGCAGCAGUGGGGAAUAUUGCACAAUGGGCGGAAGCCUGAUGCAGCGACGCCGCGUGAGGGAUGAAGGCCUUCGGGUUGUAAACCUCUUUCAGCAGGGACGAAGCGUGAGUGACGGUACCUGCAGAAGAAGCACCGGCUAACUACGUGCCAGCAGCCGCGGUAAUACGUAGGGUGCGAGCGUUGUCCGGAAUUACUGGGCGUAAAGAGUUCGUAGGCGGUUUGUCGCGUCGUUUGUGAAAACCCGGGGCUCAACUUCGGGCUUGCAGGCGAUACGGGCAGACUUGAGUGUUUCAGGGGAGACUGGAAUUCCUGGUGUAGCGGUGAAAUGCGCAGAUAUCAGGAGGAACACCGGUGGCGAAGGCGGGUCUCUGGGAAACAACUGACGCUGAGGAACGAAAGCGUGGGUAGCAAACAGGAUUAGAUACCCUGGUAGUCCACGCCGUAAACGGUGGGCGCUAGGUGUGGGUUCCUUCCACGGGAUCUGUGCCGUAGCUAACGCAUUAAUCGCC